UACGUAGGGGGCAAGCGUUGUCCGGAUUUAUUGGGCGUAAAGAGCGUGUAGGCGGUCAGGUAGGUCCGUUGUGAAAACUCGAGGCUCAACCUCGAGACGCCGAUGGAAACCAUCUGACUAGAGUCCGGAAGAGGAGAGUGGAAUUCCUGGUGUAGCGGUGAAAUGCGCAGAUAUCAGGAGGAACACCGAUGGCGAAGGCAGCUCUCUGGCCUAUAACUGACGCUGAGGUGCGAAAGCGUGGGGAGCAAACGGG
rnacentral:rRNA from 1 species